rnacentral:sRNA from 1 species
GUCACGCCCGAAGUCAUUACUCCAACCCUAGUGGAGGAGGACGCCGAAGGCAGGGCUAGUGACUGGGGUGAAGUCGUAACAAGGUAGCCGUACCGGAAGGUGUGGCUGGAUCACCUCCUUUUAGGGAGACCUAUUUUCAAUUUUGAGCCGUAACAUAGAGCCAAAAUGCGAAAAAAAUCCCAAGGUCGGGCAAGGGAGACAAACAAAAGCUUUCAAACUAUAUAAGGUGGGGACAAGGGCUAUUAGCUCAGGUGGUUAGAGCGCACCCCUGAUAAGGGUGAGGUCCCUGGUUCAAGUCCAGGAUGGCCCACCUGAAAAGGGAAGUUCAGCUCAAAGAGCAAAUAGAACCGAAAAAAGUACCUUGAAAACUGCAUAGCAUAGAAAAAAGCUGAAAAGAAGGUCAAGUUAGAAAGGGCUAACGGUGGAUACCUAGGCACACAGAGG